AUGAACGCUGGCGGCGUGCCUAAUACAUGCAAGUCGAGCGAACAGACGAGGAGCUUGCUCCUCUGACGUUAGCGGCGGACGGGUGAGUAACACGUGGAUAACCUACCUAUAAGACUGGGAUAACUUCGGGAAACCGGAGCUAAUACCGGAUAAUAUAUUGAACCGCAUGGUUCAAUAGUGAAAGACGGUUUUGCUGUCACUUAUAGAUGGAUCCGCGCCGCAUUAGCUAGUUGGUAAGGUAACGGCUUACCAAGGCAACGAUGCGUAGCCGACCUGAGAGGGUGGUCGGCCACACGGGAACUGAGAGAGGGGCGGGACACUGACGGGAGGCAGCAGUAGGGAAUCUUACGCAAGGGGCGAAAGCCGGACAGAGCAAAGUCGCGGGAAUGAUGAAGGUCUUAGGAUCGUAAAACGCUGUUAGUAGGGAAGAAGAAAUGUGUAAGUAAAUAGGAAGGACUUGACGGUACCUAAUCAGAAAGCCACGGCUAAAUACGUG
rnacentral:rRNA from 1 species